CAAUAGCGUAUAUUUAAGUUGUUGCAGUUAAAAAGCUCGUAGUUGGAUUUCGGUUAAGAGCGACCGGUCCGCCGUUUGGUGUGCACUGGUUGGUUUUAACUUCCUGUAGAGGACGUGCUCUGGGUUUAACGACCUGGACUCGGAGUCUACGUGGUUACUUUGAAAAAAUUAGAGUGUUCAAAGCGGGCUUACGCUUGAAUAUUUCAGCAUGGAAUAACACUAUAGGACUCCUGUCCUAUUUCGUUGGUCUCGGGACGGGAGUAAUGAUUAAGAGGAACAGUUGGGGGCAUUCGUAUUUCAUUGUCAGAGGUGAAAUUCUUGGAUUUAUGAAAGACGAACUUCUGCGAAAGCAUUUGCCAAGGAUGUUUUCAUUAA
rnacentral:rRNA from 1 species